rnacentral:tRNA from 1 species
AGCUCCAUGGCUCAAUAGUAGAGCAUCUUCCUAGAAUGCGGAAGGUUCCUGGUUCAGUCCCUGGCAGGGGUGGAGUGA